UGCUUUAGAUGAUACCUUAAACAGUAAUUGGGGACAGAAACGUAACUAAAGAUAUUGAAUCGCCCAAAAAACACAACAAGGAGUCUCCGUGAUGAUGACGUCAGGCCAGACGUCGUCCAAGCGACCAGACUAUAGCGGGGGGUUGAGGACUUUACUGAUGACUGUAAUGUGGGAAAAACUACCCCUGCCACUUUAAGACUGUGCCCGCCACACGGCUCCAUAAGGAUAUAAUGCAUUCCAGAUGUGGCGGAGGCUUUUUGUUUGUUGUGUUUUUUAGGUAUUCUCUCUCUCAUACACAUACGUGUAUCCAUAAUCACAAACAAAGAGUAGCCUGUGUACGUGAUCUCACAGGUUCUGCACACAUUAAAAAUGUUGCUCUCAAAACAAGAAACACGGCUACGCAAAGUAGCAUAUUCAAAGUGCAAUGCAUGAAACGUAAAGAAUGUCAAGCCAGAGCUACGAGCUCCUGUGGAGUUAAGUAACUUGCACUCACGCUGAGCAAUUAGUUUAUUAUCAAGUUAAACAUGAUGUCUUUAUAUACAACCAAGUCUCACAGCAAAACGUAUAAUAGCUACGUUGGACCAACGUGGUAUUCUCACGCUUUCUCCCACAAAUCACGACGGUACGACGUUUUAUUUUGGCCCAUUCAUUUACAUUGCCUUGCAACUACGUCACUAGAAACUAAUAAACGGAAGGACUUCUAAGUUCACCGAUAGAAGAUUAUGAAAAUAUAACGCAUACUUCUCGCUAGAAAUGCCAUCAAAAUGCAUACAAAUGCCGAUGCUUUCUUAAAAUAUUGUGUUUUUCACAGAUAAUAGACCGACAGUCGGCCAUUUUCUUUUUUUAGCUGAGGGAAAGUUAAUAGUCACGUGACCUAGUUGCAACUAAAACGUUCUAUUCUCACGCUUUCUCCCCAAAAGCGUGAGAAUACCACGUUACACGUUUUGCUGUGAGACUGGGUUGUUAUAUAUGUCUGUCCUGCUGUUCCUGGUGCUUUCAGUCAAGUGUUAUUCACAGACAGAAACAUCAUAAACGGAUCGAAUUCUCUUCUUUUGUGUCUUAUACGGUUUGUAUCAUCCUACACGUAAGGAAAAUACAUAAAGGCUUUAAAAGGAGGAAGACCGAGUCAAACGAGAAGAGACGCAGAUCUGUUCAAAUGAAUGUAUUUUUUGAAAGUUGUUGUGAAGGGUGGUGUUGGGGGGUUGAGGACCAGGUCAGUCUGGGCUACCUUAUAUGUUAUUACUGACAUAGUCAACUAUUGUCUAGAAACACUAAGCUAUUGGUGGAUGGCUCCUCCGUAGCCAAAUAUGUUGUAGAGGAGUCUGCAUGGCCGUUCUGUUCAUUCUGUUUGCAGAGGCGGGCCUAGUUUUGAUAUAUUACUUACUUUUGUUAGGUUCAACCACAGGUCCCGGCCUCCCGCACUCGGAGUACAGACUUGCAUGAAAUAGUCUUUGAAAGAUAAUUUGUGUAAAUUGCAAAUCAGUUAGUGUGUAACUUUCUCCAACUGACUGUUCUGUGUUUGUUCCCCACGCCGUCCCUAGACAAACUCAAAUAGGGGACGUAACUGUAGUGAACACACUUGGUCUGCCAUGAACUUCCAAACUCACCUGGAGGUUUCCUGAAGCAAGCCAAAUUUUCACAGAUUGGUGUACUGCGCUUUCCUAAUGCUUCUAAUCCAUUGGGAUUAAUGCAUUGUCAUUGUGUUAAAGGUGCAAUUUGUAAUGAAAGCCAAUAGCAAACUGCUGGAACUUUGACAGGCAAAAUAAUACAACUUAUUUUUAUUAUCUUCACUGUCGUGUGCAUUUCAUACAAAAAAUAAUUUAUUUGGGGUUUUGUCCUUUACGCUACCUGUAACUCACUUGUAACCGUCAGUCAGCAAACUGGUGUUCUUUGACACGUGAUGCCUGUGAUUUGUGGUUAUUGUGUUUUUUGUUUUCUGUCAGACUUCUAACUAUUCACAUCCCCUAAAUGCAUUUGGAUUUUGGUGUAGAACUCUGCCUUUUUUGGAGUUUUGUAACCACAACAUUGUGCCUUAACUCUGUACAUCUUAACAGCACAACGGGACAGAAAUGCUCCCUGCAGUAACUGGAAUUGGUAAACGGCAAACUUUAGUUGCCCCUUUUUUCUUUUUUUUCCUCCUCUUUCCUCUACUGCACUGUGUUUUCUCUGGACGGCAAACCCUAACAUUUAGACUGCAGACAAAACCCUGGAUCCGUAGAAGCUGUGCUACAGGCAGAGAAGAGCCGAAUGCAAGGAGCAGUGGGGGAAGGAGAUGAGGAGUGAUGAUGUGGAGCUUAUGACACUGGGAGUCCUACUCCGAUUGAGGAGGGAUGUUAAAGGCUGACCGACAGGUGGACAGUCAUCCCGACGUGAGAGGAUCCUCUCCACCCGUCCUCCCUGGCGCUCUCUCUCUCUCUCUCUCUCAGAAUGGAAAUGUGAGACGCAGUGAGACGAGGCCGGUGACUACGUUACUCCAACGGGCCAAUCAGAGCGUGGCACAUCUGGAGGAAUCUGUCUGCAGGCCCAGCUGGAAGCACUACAGGAGACAGCAGAGGAGAGGAGAGGAGGAACAUGUGAGAUUCAAGAUGGCUGAGGGAUUAAAUGAAAUAAAAGGACGUUGAAAGGAAUACAUGUUGUUUGUCGUUUAAUUUAGCUGACCUCACCGAAAAAGCACGGCUGAAGGAGCAAUUCGCUUUGAUGGCAUUUAACAUUUAGCUGUGACCAAUGUUGAACUGGGCGAUAGGAGUGACACAGUGUGAGCGUUUUUUCCGGCGUGUCCCAUUUGCAGAUGUUUCCCAG
ensembl:lncRNA